UACGGGGGGGGCAAGCGUUGUUCGGAAUUACUGGGCGUAAAGGGCUCGUAGGCGGCCAACUAAGUCAGACGUGAAAUCCCUCGGCUUAACCGGGGAACUGCAUCUGAUACUGGAUGGCUUGAGAUUGGGAGAGGGAUGCGGAAUUCCAGGUGUAGCGGUGAAAUGCGUAGAUAUCUGGAGGAACACCGGUGGCGAAGGCGGCAUCCUGGACCAACACUGACGCUGAGGAGCGAAAGCGUGGGGAGCGAGCAGG
rnacentral:rRNA from 1 species